GCCUCCGUGUCCCUUCUACUCCCGCUGUCUGAACCCCGCGAUGUCCCCCGCGCUGUUCGUCCCCUCUUCGUCUCCCUCUUCGAUGUUCCGGGUCCCAGAAACCGGGUUAUCACAGUGGCCCGGACCAUAGGGAAAUUGCCGAAUCAUCCAGUUGGGAUCACCGAGCCUGCAGGGUCCCCUUCCUGGGCGAGCCUCCUGGCCCCGUGCUAUCGGAGGCCUGGACACCCCCGCCAGGGACCCAGCGACCCAGCAAGUCCCUACCCCCUCUAAGGGCGACCUGGGCCUCGGGGUGAGAGGUCUCCUACACUAAAAAGGCUGCCGCCCUUCAAUCCUAGACCCCGAGAUUCCUUUCACUCGGGAAAUCUCGUAAUGGCACCCAUUGUCAUUUUGAUCUUUAUGCCAAAUUUCUAGCUCCUACGUCUCCAUUGCCGGUCCUAAAAGUCGCUGUUUCACUAAGCUUCGGAACCUGACUCCGAGAAAUCUAUUCGUUCGUCCCAAGAUCUCAGCCAGAAAGAGAAAUCCACGCGGCGGCCUCUUCUAGCUCGGGGGCUGGGAGGCCCCGUCCUGAUCCUCUGUCGCCCAGGCCGACCUCCCUCAGGGCCACGGGGAAGAGGAACCUGAGCAGCUCUGAGGGGCGGGUCUCUGACGGUGGGGCUCCCCCUCGUCCUGCCAGGACCCUGCCCCAAGGAGAAGACCCCUUAGGACGUUACCAGAGUUAAACAAUGUUUUCUCUUGCUCUUCAGAGCACCUGGGAUAAGGUUCCUGAUGGGUCUUGGGAGCAAACUAACAUGUCGCUCCAGGCGCUCAGGACCAUUCCUCUGAUUUUCACAUUUUGGGGCUGAGAGUGUUUAAGAAGGACUGAAAAACGCUGCAGUCUUUGAGGGGCUAAGUUUGGAGGAUGAGGGAGUGGGAGAGGAUGCCUUCUUGGCUCCUUGGAGUGGACUGGCAGGUAAGGAAA